rnacentral:lncRNA from 1 species
UAUAUAGUUCGGCUACUAUACUUUUAUGAGUAUUGGCUCCUUUAUACUCAUAAGUUUUCGACCCUUAGAUUUAUUCCAUUAAUCAUUUUCAUCCGUUAGAUCAUACUAUUUAAUCAACUACCCACUCAACCCUAGGGGACCACUAUCAUUCUAAAUGAGGACCACCAUCAUCCUAACCACACAUCGCAUCAAUCAACGGUUAAAAAUUUUCGAGCUUUUCGAGCUUUUCGAGCCUAAUUCGAACGAGCCGAGUAAUACUCAAGCUCGGCUUGAAAUGAAUUUCGAGCCUUUUAUUUUGUUCAAGCUCGGCUCAUUUAAUUUCGAGUCGAGCUCGAGCGAGCCGAAUAUCGAGCCGAACACGAGUCGAACGCGAGCCGGCUCGCUCGUUUGCCAGCCCUACAAGGCAUCAAGCCUUAGGGUAUGAGCUUCUAGGGAGAAGGCCCUUCUCCCCAGAAUCUAUCCUCCUAAAAUCUUGGGAGGAGCAUUUUUAGUCCAACGGACCAGACAAUUUUCGUUCAUUUGACCAAAAACCAUCUCAAUCCUUUUUUUUUUUUUCAAAAAAUAAUAAAAAUUGAUAUAUAUUUGAAAUAAAUUUGAAUAUUUGUUAUUUUAGAAUUAUUUUCAUUAAUUUUAAAUUUUUAAUCAAAAUAUUAAUUUAAAUUGAAAUAAUUUAUUGUUUAUAUUUUAAAUUUUAUGUUUUUAAGAAAAUAAAAAAUAAAAAUUUUAAGAGGCCGGUUCGGAGCACGGCACGGCCUGGCCUGGAUUAAAUUUGGCACGAUCGAAAAGCUCGGAGUUUUUUUUUUUUUUUUUUUAAAGAAAGUAUGAUAUCCCAAUAGUUCUAUAUAGGAUGAAAACUGAUUUGUGAUUGGAUAUAUAAGUGACUAUGGACUCUAAUAAUAAAAACUAAACUUAAGUAUAAGUUAUUAUUGCUAACAGAUCGGAUCAUUACAUUUGGUGAUCUUGAGCUGUGUGAUUGGAUUGACGAAAACGUCAGGACCUAAAAAUGGUCCCACAUCGAAUAAGAAUAGGGCUUAAAUAUUUUGGAUCAAUGAUUCGAACCUAACAAAUUAUUAUUAUUAUUAGUGGAUCGAAUCGUUACAAAAAAAUCAAGAAAAUUCGAACAAUAUCAGGUGAUAUGAAUAACAUUUAUUAACCAAAACUU